rnacentral:rRNA from 1 species
AGGGAAUUUUGCGCAAUGGGGGAAACCCUGACGCAGCAACGCCAUGUGUGGGAUGAAGCAUUUCGGUGUGUAAACCACUGUCAGCAGGGAAUAAACGACCGCUUCGGGCGGUUUUGAAUGUACCUGCAAAGGAAGCCCCGGCUAACUUCGUGCCAGCAGCCGCGGUAAGACGGAGGGGGCAAGCGUUGUCCGGACUCACUGGGCGUAAAGGGUGCGCAGGCGGUCCUGUGCGUCGGCGCUGAAAGCGCCCGGCUUAACCGGGCGAGGCGCGGCGAUACGACAGGACUGGAGGCUCGGAGAGGGUGGUGGAACUCCUGGUGUAGUGGUGAAAUGCGUAGAGAUCAGGAAGAACACCCGUGGCGCAAGCGACCACCUGGCCGAGACCUGACGCUGAGGCACGAGAGCGUGGGGAGCGAAC